GACAUAGGUGGCGAACGUUAUCCGGAAUUAUUGGGCGUAAAGGAUGCGUAGAUGGUAGAAUAAGUUACUGGUCGAUGCCAAACUCAAUUUGACGGGAGCUGGUAAUACUGUUCUGCUCGAGGACAGGAGAGGUUGAUGGAAUUCUGUGUGGAGCGGUGAAAUGCGUUGAUCUACAGAGGAACACCAAAAAAGGCGAAGGCAGUCAACUAUUCUGUUCCUGACAUUGAGGCAUGAAAGCGUGGGGAGCAAACCGG
rnacentral:rRNA from 1 species